GCGCCCUUAGCUCAGUGGACAGAGCGUCGGACUACGAAUCCGCAGGUCGGAGGUUCAAAUCCUCCAGGGCGCGCCA
rnacentral:tRNA from 1 species